rfam:Oryza sativa Japonica Group DNA, chromosome 10, cultivar: Nipponbare, complete sequence.
AAAAACUCAAUUCCUGAGUUUCCAUGUCUAACAUUUGACCGUUCAUCUUAUUUAAAAAAAUUAUGAAAAAAUUUAAAAAGAUAAGUCAUGCAUAAAGUAUUAUUCAUGUUUUAUCAUCUAACAAUAAUAAAAAUACUAAUAAAAAUUUUUCAUAUAAGAUAGACAGUCAAACGUUGAACACAAAAACAACCGAAGAAUUCGGU